CGAGGAGGAGAGCUAAGAGCC
rnacentral:miRNA from 1 species